rnacentral:rRNA from 1 species
GACGAACGCUGGCGGCGUGCUUAACACAUGCAAGUCGAACGGAAAGACCCUGCUUUUGUGGGGUGCUCGAGUGGCGAACGGGUGAGUAACACGUGAGUAACCUGCCCUUGACUUUGGGAUAACUUCAGGAAACUGGGGCUAAUACCGGAUAGGAGCUCCUGCUGCAUGGUGGGGGUUGGAAAGUUUCGGCGGUUGGGGAUGGACUCGCGGCUUAUCAGCUUGUUGGUGGGGUAGUGGCUUACCAAGGCUUGGACGGGUAGCCGGCCUGAGAGGGUGACCGGAGGGAGUGGGGGUGGGGCACGGCGCAGAGGAGGGGGGGGGGGAGCAGUGGGGGAGAGGGGGCCGGGGGCGGGAGCGUGAUGCGGCAGGGCGGCGUGCGGGAUGACGGCCUGCGGGUCGUAAGCCGCGUUCGCGGGGGACGAAGGGUGGGUGGCGGUAGGGGGGAAGGAAGACGCGGCAAGCCGCGGGCCAGGGGCGGGGGUAAUAAGGGGAGGCGCGCCCGCCUGACC